GUCGGCGGCAGUAAGAGGAGACUAGACAGUACAAGCAUCGAAGAGACCCGCGUAGUAGAGGUAAGUAGGGGCGUUAAGAGGGAAGGUCUGGCGGGAGAUCGCUGGAUCUCGCUUGCGGUUCACGCGGGCCGCCGGUGGAGGUUGCGAGUGGGGUCACUGAGAAGAGACACGGAGAGCUCCUAUACUCUAUUAGAGAAGACGAUGCAAACCAUUUCUGCCUAAACAAGACUACCCUCACGCUGAGUAGCCGCACAUACCACAGAGCGGGCGCCCGCGCCGAUGUGCAGCUUCGGGAGCCUCCAGGGACGACGGUGGCAGAACGGAGGGCGAACUCUCAAACUUGACGUGUACGAAACUACCCGCAUAACAUGCGGUGGCAGGACGUGGGGGCCGUUUGGACCGGCACCAAAACGACGAC
rnacentral:rRNA from 1 species